CCUACGGGAGGCAGCAGUGGGGAAUAUUGCACAAUGGGGGAAACCCUGAUGCAGCGACGCCGCGUGAGUGAAGAAGUAUUUCGGUAUGUAAAGCUCUAUCAGCAGGGAAGAAAAUGACAGUACCUGACCAAGAAGCCCCGGCUAACUACGUGCCAGCAGCCGCGGCAAUACGUAGGGGGCAAGCGUUAUCCGGAUUUACUGGGUGUAAAGGGAGCGUAGACGGUUAUGUAAGUCUGGAGUGAAAGCCCGUGGCCUAACCCCGGGACUGCUUUUGAAACUGUGUAACUGGAGUGCAGGAGAGGUAAGCGGAAUUCCUGGUGUAGCGGUGAAAUGCGUAGAUAUCAGGAGGAACACCAGUGGCGAAGGCGGCCUGCUGGACUGAAACUGACGUUGAGGCUCGAAAGCGUGGGGAGCAAACAGGAUUAGAUACCCGAGUAGUC
rnacentral:rRNA from 1 species